CCUACGGGUGGCAGCAGUGAGGAAUAUUGGUCAAUGGGCUUACGCCUGAACCAGCCAAGUCGCGUGAGGGAAGACUGCCCUAUGGGUUGUAAACCUCUUUUGUCAGGGAGCAACGCCGGCUACGUGUAGCUGGACUGAGAGUACCUGAAGAAAAAGCAUCGGCUAACUCCGUGCCAGCAGCCGCGGUAAUACGGAGGAUGCGAGCGUUAUCCGGAUUUAUUGGGUUUAAAGGGAGCGUAGGUGGGUUGUUAAGUCAGUUGUGAAAGUUUGCGGCUCAACCGGAGAAGUGCAUUUGAUAAUGGCAGUCUUGAGUGCGCGAGAAGUACGCGGAAUUCGUGGUGUAGCGGUGAAAUGCAUAGAUAUCACGAAGAACUCCGAUUGCGAAGGCAGCCUACUGGACUGCCACUGACGUUGAUGCACGAAAGUGUGGGUAUCAAACAGGAUUAGAUACCCGAGUAGUC
rnacentral:rRNA from 1 species